rnacentral:rRNA from 1 species
AACGUAGGUUCCGAGCGUUAUCCGGAUUUACUGGGCGUAAAGCGCGUUCAGGCGGUUUGGCAAGUCGGGCAUGAAAUCUCUCGGCUCAACCGGGAGAGGUUGUCCGAUACUGCUGGACUUGAGGGCAGUAGAGGGUGGUGGAAUUCCGGGUGUAGUGGUGAAAUGCGUAGAUAUCCGGAGGGACACCAGUAGCGAAAGCGGCCACCUGGACUGCACCUGACGCUGACACGCGAAAGCUAGGGGAGCGAACGGG